UUUUCUGUAAGUUGUGGAAAUCCGAUACAGAAAUGGAGGUCAUGGAAAAGCUGUAAAUGUCCUACCUAAUAAAGGUAUGUCUUUGUGCAUAUAAUCAUGCAGAGGUGCAGCAGUCCGUGAAGGCCUCUUCACUUCAUCUUGGUUUCAUGGGAACCUGCGUGCAGCUAAUCCUCCUUUUGGGUCUAGAGGGUUUCUCCAAACAAAUCAUCCAGUUCUAAAACCCAAUGCUCCUCAAGUGGGCUCCUGGCUCUCUUUGCAAAGUCCCACCAUAGCAAGGGAAGGAGAAAGGAAUGGGGUGUGGAUAAGCCAGACCAGCAGGAGACUGUCAAGUUGAAGGACUGGAUGACCUGUUUUGGAAGACGGGCUGAGUCUGAAUAAUGGCUGCUCAUGAAGGGGUCAUUGUUUGAUUGGAAGCUCAAGGAAAGCGAGGAUAAAGGCUUGGAUCUUGAUACUUUGA